GAUGAAGAACGUAGCGAAAUGCGAUAAGUAGUGUGAAUUGCAGAAUUCAGUGAAUCAUCGAAUCUUUGAACGCACAUUGCGCCCCUUGGUAUCCCGAGGGGCAUGCCUGUUCGAGCGUCAUUUCACCACUCAAGCCUGGCUUGGUGUUGGGCGACUUCCCCUUUGGGGACGCGCCUCGAAACGCUCGGCGGCGUGGCACCGGCUUUAAGCGUAGCAGAAUCUUUCGCUUUGGAAGUCGGGGCCCCGUCUGCCGGAAGACCUACUCGCAAGGUUGACCUCGGAUCAGGCAGGGAUACCCGCUGAACUUAAGCAUAUCAAUAAGCGGAGGA
rnacentral:misc_RNA from 1 species